rnacentral:rRNA from 1 species
GUCUUUUUGAGUUAUUUUUAAAGUCUGACCUGCCCACUGAAUUUUUGAAUGGCCGCAGUAUUUUAACUGUGCAAAGGUAGCAUAAUCAUUAGUCUUUUAAUUGAAGGCUGGUAUGAACGGUUGGACGAGGUAUAAGCUGUUUCAUGUAUAUUUACAUUAGAAUUUUAUUUUUUAGUUAAAAAGCUAAAAUAUAAUUAAAAGACGAGAAGACCCUAUAAAUCUUUAUAUUUUAUUUUUAUUUAAAUUUUUUGGGUUUAUUUUAUUUUUAUAGAUUAAUUUAUUUUGUUGGGGUGAUAGUAAAAUUUAAUAAACUUUUAUUUUUUAAAGAUCAUUUAUUUAUGUUUUUUUGAUCCGUUAUUAGUGAUUAUAAGAUUAAGUUACUUUAGGGAUAACAGCGUAAUUUUUUUGGAGAGUUCAUAUCGAUAAAAAAGUUUGCGACCUCGAUGUUGGAUUAAGAUAUAGUUUUAGGUGUAGCUGCUUAAACGUUAAGUCUGUUCGACUUUUAAAUUCUU